rnacentral:rRNA from 1 species
AAGUCGUAACAAGGUUUCCGUAGGUGAACCUGCGGAAGGAUCAUUACCAAAUCUUUGUGUCCUGACUGAAAGGUCUUGACGCUUUAACCCUUUGUGAACUAAAUUUCAUACGCUUCGGUAGCAAGCUAGUUUGGUUUAUAGCCGACCUAGUUGUUAGCCUGCCGUGAGCACCAUUAUUAAAAACUUGUAUUUCAAUCAAUUGUCUGAAUAAACAGAUUUUUGAAUGAAAAUCAAAACUUUCAACAACGGAUCUCUUGGUUCUCGCAUCGAUGAAGAACGCAGCGAAACGCGAUAGUUAAUGUGAAUUGCAGAAUUCAGUGAAUCAUCGAGUCUUUGAACGCACAUUGCGCCCAUUGGUAUUCCAUUGGGCAUGUCUGUUUGAGCGUCAUUACAACCCCUCAGCGCAAGCUGGUUUUGAGUUCGCACAAGCCGGGAUUACUGGAAACAGUUUUUGCGGCCGAGUGCUGGCUUUAAAGUUGUAAGCUCUGCUGGCUGCUUUGCCAAACUACAAACAUAGUAAAACUACUUUUGUUUACAGUGAAGCUUAGUGGUUCGGCCUGAACAAAACCACAAAUUUUCUAGGUUUGACCUCAGAUCAGACAAGGAUACCCGCUGAACUUA